GGUAGUUCUCAGGUGAUGCAGCGUGGAACCAGGCUCCCUUCUCUCCAGUUCCAGGUGCGGCACCAGAGAAUCUCC
rfam:Myotis davidii contig126780, whole genome shotgun sequence.